AAGCACAGAGGCUCAUGAAAACACAACAGAAAUGCAAAUUUGGUUCUUCUUUGUUAUUCCUCAGAUGUGUUUCCUCAGCGAUUCCUGGCUGACCUUUGUCUUCUCAGCAUAUAGGCAGGAAUUAUGCACAAUCCAAUAACAUGCAUUUUUCUCCUAAGGAAAAUCCCUAGUGAUUAUGAAUUACAGAAUCGUUACCAUGUACAUAAAGCAAGUUCCUCAGGGAGGUUUAUCUGAGGGACCCAGGUAGGAACCACACCUUCAACUGCAUAUUAACCACCAUAAAAAGAGGUUAGGUUGGAAACGCAAGAAGAAUGGAACAACAAUUUCCAGCUCCAAGUGGAAUCCCAAAGUACAGAGCAGCAAAUGAACACCAAUGGGAAAAUCACAUUUUGAACUUUUUCAAGAUGCAAUUGGUCCAUCUCUGAUUACACCUUACACACUUUGCAGUAUGCUACUGCAUUUCUAGCUAUUCUUGUUAGACAUUCCUCACUUGUGUUUGACAAAUAAUGCUCAUUGUAGUCCAA